CGCCCAGCUAAUUUUUGUGUUUUUAGGGGAGACGGGUUUCACCAUUUUGGCCAGGGUGGUCUCGAUCUCCUGACCUUGUGAUCCGCCCGCCUCGGCCUCCCAAAGUGCUGGAAUUGCAGGCAUGAGCCACUGCACCUGGCUGAGUACAAUAUUAAUGUAGACGAACCAUGAGGUUUAUUAUUUCAUAUAAGAACGUUACAAGUUUGUUUUUUCUUGCAUGUCUGUCCACCUAAUGUUUAAGUAGUUAUGGUAGCUCUUCCUAUUCUUUAUUCUAUUUGAUUCCAUUUCUGUGAUUCCUUUAUUACCACUGAUGUUUUGUGAUAGUUAACUAUGAUAAAUUUAACUAAUCAUGAUUUAUCUUCUAGAGUAUUUAAAUAAUAGAUGAGUGACCACCCAAUUCCAACAUUAAAAGUGUAAUCUGGGCCCAUAAUUUAUAGUGAAAUUGUAUCAAAACAUAGGGAAACUGUAUUACUAUCCAUUUUGAAAAUAUGAAACUUGAGUAUUGAAAAUAUUCAAACAUGGAAUGGCACUAUUCUAAUUUCAGUUAAUUGGUUCAUGUUAAUUUCUUACCUAUUAGAUGUUUAAACAGCAGUGACCUUUAGCUUUUGCUACCAACUCAACCACUUAACUUUUAGAGCAGUUUUGGGGAGAUUUUAUGCUUCAUCUGAGUUUAGAAGUAAUGUCAGAAAAUGUUAAGCAUGUCUGUAUUAAGAAAAUAUAAGGUUUCUAAUUGUCUUAUUAAUAUGGUAAUUCAAGUGAAUUAGAAAUAUUUAACUGCAAUCUUGAAUUAUAAAGUUGAGA
rnacentral:sRNA from 1 species